GACGAACGCUGGCGGCGUGCUUAACACAUGCAAGUCGUACGGUAAGGCCCUUUCGGGGGUACACGAGCGGCGAACGGGUGAGUAACACGUGAGUAACCUGCCCUUGACUUUGGGAUAACUUCAGGAAACUGGGGCUAAUACCGGAUAGGAGCUCCUGCUGCAUGGUGGGGGUUGGAAAGUUUCGGCGGUUGGGGAUGGACUCGCGGCUUAUCAGCUUGUUGGUGGGGUAGUGGCUUACCAAGGCUUUGACGGGUAGCCGGCCUGAGAGGGUGACCGGCCACAUUGGGACUGAGAUACGGCCCAGACUCCUACGGGAGGCAGCAGUGGGGAAUAUUGCACAAUGGGCGGAAGCCUGAUGCAGCAACGCCGCGUGCGGGAUGACGGCCUUCGGGCUGUAAACCGCUUUCGCCUGUGACGAAGCGUGAGUGACGGUAAUGGGUAAAGAAGCACCGGCUAACUACGUG
rnacentral:rRNA from 1 species